GACGAACGCUGGCGGCGUGCUUAACACAUGCAAGUCGAACGGAAAGGCCUCAGCUUGCUGGGGUGCUCGAGUGGCGAACGGGUGAGUAACACGUAGGUGAUCUGCCUUUCACUUCGGGAUAAGCUUGGGAAACUGGGUCUAAUACCGGAUAUUCACGGCACCGUGGUUGGUGUGGUGGAAAGCUUUUGCGGUGGGAGAUGAGCUUGCGGCCUAUCAGCUUGUUGGUGGGGUAAUGGCCUACCAAGGCGGCGACGGGUAGCCGGCCUGAGAGGGUGUGCGGCCACAUUGGGACUGAGAUACGGCCGAGACUCCUACGGGAGGCAGCAGUGGGGAAUGUUGCACAAUGGGCGGAAGCCUGAUGCAGCGACGCCGUGUGGGGGAUGAAGGCCUUCGGGUUGUAAACUCCUUUCGUCAGGGACGAAGUUUGUUUGACGGUACCUGGAUAAGAAGCACCGGCUAACUACGUGCCAGCCGCCGCAGUAA
rnacentral:rRNA from 1 species